CAGCACGAGUGCUUGCACCUGGUGGCGAGUGGCGAACGGGUGAGUAAUACAUCGGAACAUGUCCUGUAGUGGGGGAUAGCCCGGCGAAAGCCGGAUUAAUACCGCAUACGAUCUACGGAUGAAAGCGGGGGACCUUCGGGCCUCGCGCUAUAGGGUUGGCCGAUGGCUGAUUAGCUAGUUGGUGGGGUAAAGGCCUACCAAGGCGACGAUCAGUAGCUGGUCUGAGAGGACGACCAGCCACACUGGGACUGAGACACGGCCCAGACUCCUACGGGAGGCAGCAGUGGGGAAUUUUGGACAAUGGGCGAAAGCCUGAUCCAGCAAUGCCGCGUGUGUGAAGAAGGCCUUCGGGUUGUAAAGCACUUUUGUCCGGAAAGAAAUCCUUGGUUCUAAUAUAGCCGGGGGAUGACGGUACCGGAAGAAUAAGCACCGGCUAACUACGUGCCAGCAGCCGCGGUAAUACGUAGGGUGCGAGCGUUAAUCGGAAUUACUGGGCGUAAAGCGUGCGCAGGCGGUUUGCUAAGACCGAUGUGAAAUCCCCGGGCU
rnacentral:rRNA from 1 species